rnacentral:lncRNA from 1 species
UUUUAUGGUCAUACAACAUGCAUGCAGUUAAGACUUGACUCCAAGUUCUUAUUUUUGCAUUAUAUGUUAUUGAAAUCAAUAAAACAUGUAUAUUAUAACUUGUGUAUGGUACAAAAUAGCUCUUGGUCAAAUAAUCCUAGUAUUUUUCAAGUUUUAUUGUUUUUCUUAUGGUAGCCUUUUACAAUCUAGGCAAAUGGUAUAUACUCAUAUAAGAAUUCCAAAAUCUCACUGUACAUACAAUUUUGAACCAGUUUAGCAAGUUAUCUAGCUGAGGGAUAUAUAAAUUGCUCUUAAUAAUCUAUGUUUUACCACAUAAUUAAGGUUUAUACAAAAAAAGGCCAUUUUUUAUUUGAAGAAAAAAGGGGGGACAAUAUUCUCAAUUAUGUCUUAAGUUUGGACUAAUAUAUUUUUAUUUAAUGAAGAACC